ACAAGCAGUAGGAGCCUCUUUAUGGGGUGACUGCGUACCUUUUGUAUAAUGGGUCAGCGACUUAUAUUCUGUAGCGAGGUUAACCGUAUAGGGGAGCCGUAGGGAAACCGAGUCUUAACUGGGCGAAUGAGUUGCAGGGUAUAGACCCGAAACCCGGUGAUCUAUCCAUGGGCAGGUUGAAGGUUGGGUAACACUAACUGGAGGACCGAACCGACUAAUGUUGAAAAAUUAGCGGAUGACUUGUGGAUGGGGGUGAAAGGCCAAUCAAACCGGGAGAUAGCUGGUUCUCCCCGAAAGCUAUUUAGGUAGCGCCUCGUGAACUCAUCUUCGGGGGUAGAGCACUGUUUCGACUAGGGGGUCAUCCCGACUUACCAACUCGAUGCAAACUGCGAAUACCGAAGAAUGUUAUCACGGGAGACACACGGCGGGUGCUAACGUCCGUCGUGAAGAGGGAAACAACCCAGACCGCCAGCUAAGGUCCCAAAGUCAUGGUUAAGUGGGAAACGAAGUGGGAAGGCUCAGACAGCCAGGAUGUUGGCUUAGAAGCAGCCAUCAUUUAAAGAAAGCGUAAUAGCUCACUGGUCGAGUCGGCCCGCGCGGAAGAUGUAACGGGGCUAAACCAUGCACCGAAGCUGCGGCAGCGA
rnacentral:rRNA from 1 species